AUUCACGCUCUCUCUUCAAAUGGUUCUCCUCCUCCCCCUCUCUCUCGCCAUUUUCUCUCUCCUCAAGAAACGACCAUUGAAGCUCUAAGAAAACGACGAUCAAGCUCCAAAAACGCCGAUUACUUACUGAUUUAAGUUGUUGAUGAACAAAACUGAAAAUUCAAAAAAUCAACAUGAAAAAUAAAUACGAACAAAGAAGGGAAAAUUCAAAGGACGUAAAUGAGAUUAAACAUGCCAAAAAAUCAGAGCUAAAUCGAGCGCAUUUAUAGUAAAAUUGUCGAAGAAGCAAUCUGAAGGACAUCCUUGAAAACGUCGGGUAAUAUUUUCUAAUUUUUUGAAUUAAUUUGAGAAUUGAGAAUUUUACAAUAUUUUUCUAAUUUUUGGUACUUUUUGAUGUUCUAAAAGUAAUAAUCAUAUGUUCUGCAUUUUUAAACAGAGAAAAUGAGAAUAGAUGUGCCAAAACAACGGAUCAAAAUGUCCUACCAUCACUUAUGAAGGACAUCAUGAGAAAUAUUGUGUAAUAUUUAUAUUUCCAAUACUUUAGGACAUGAAGGUUAAGAAUGUAGAACAUGAAAGCUCAUUAUUUAGAACAAAAUUGUUUAAUGUUUAGAACAUAAAAAAUAAUGAUAAAAAUUAGAUGUUAUUUGACUACACUUACCAUUUACUACAUCAGGGGAGGUUUGGGCUGGAGUGACUGGACUGGGAUGACUGGACCACACUUACCAUUAUAUGGCAUAGUGAAUAUAGAACAUGAAAGUUAAAAUUAAGAACAUGAAAGUUCACGGUUUAGAACAAAUAUAUUUAGGUGCUCAUAGCUUAUGUCUUUUGGAUCUUGACAAUGGUUAAUACUAGUUGUGGCUCAUGUCUUGACUUUAUUAACCACCCAUUCAACGUGGUCCACUUAUGAGAUAUGUGUAAGCUCUCGUUCCUCUCUCCACUUAUAUACGAAUCAUUAAAAUAGAAUUUUUCACAUCUUAUUUGACUACACAUACCAUAUGGUAAAGCAGGGGAGGUUUUGUGGGUAAGGCUUGGAUAAGAGUAGGGGUUGGGAAGACUGAAAAGAGACACGAUGUUUUAUAUAACAAAUAUAUACGGAUAUUAGUUUCAUAAUUUAGUUUGUACAUAAGCUAUGUGAAGAGUUUUAAACAUGCCACAUUUUAAAACACGGUAGAACAUAGAGAAGGUACAUCAAAAGAUAUAUUGGUAGAAUAUAAUGGGUAGAGUAGAAGGAUAAUUUUUUCAAUCCAUUGCCUCUCUUACUGGUGUGUACACUGCUUUGUAGAACAUAUAACUUAACUGCUUGGAACAUGUAGCUUAACUUAUUAGAACAUAUAGCUUCACUUGUUAGAACAUAUAAAUUCAAUUGUUAGAACAUAUAGCUUCUCUUGUUAGAACAAUAAAUUUCACCUUUUAGAACAAAAAUUUUACUAUGUAUAUUAGUUUAUAAAGCGAUAAAUUAUCAGUGCUGGAGUCCAUUUGUAGUCCAAUUGUCAAAAAAACACUUUUAGUUGACAUCCUUUCAAAUAUUGGGUAAUAUUUCAUCAUCUCAAUUCUUUAGAACAUGAAGGCUCACUUUUAAGAACAUUAAGUUUCAUCCUUUAGAACAUAUGUAGAGAAGUUAAUAUUUAUGGAUGUUUUAUGUUCUAAAGUUCAUAACAAGAUGUUCAAAAACUAGAAAGUUAUGUUCCAAUGUUCUCUUCCUGUAUCUAAUAUAUAUAUUCCUGAAUUGCUUCGAGUCUUAUUUUUGGCCUGUUUUUAUGACGACUCAAGUUAGUUAGCUAUGUUUUUUUUCCUGUGCAAUAUUAUGUGCUAGCAUAGUUGGUGCACAUAAUGGUGUUGGUCUUAAGUGUUUGCAUAGCCGCUGGUGCAGGUUAUUUGUUUUGCAUAGGAGGGCUGUUGCGGGUAAGUCUUGGGUGGUAUGAUUCAUGUUAUUGACUAUCGGGCAGUUGUUUGGCUGCUGCAAGAACAGUGGCACUGAGGAUCUCAAUCCUCUGGAUUAGCCACUCACUAGUAUUUUUGUCGUUGGUUAUUGAUACGGAGUGUACUCUUUCCAUCUUAUAUUUGUGAUCGGUUUUUUAAUCUCAUUAUUAGAUUUAUUAUUGACAAUAUGUAGCAUUAGUUUCGCCCUCCAAAGAGUUUUCACCAAAGAGGGAGUUUUCUCUGAUUUGAUUUUUACUUAAUACUAGCAUUUGUGACGUUUAACUGCGUUUGUAUGGAAAAUGUUGGUAUUUAUUAUAUAAAAUAUAUAGUUUUGA